GUUGAACAAGUCGUCCCGUGUCAUUCCUGGCUUCCUCGGAACUCCAGCAGGAAUCACUACAACAUCGACACCCUUCAGAGCAUUGCCUAAUUCUGAUGGUCCGGUGAAAUCGAAAACCUGGGAUGGUGUAUUGCAGUGGCUGAUAUCAGCAGCAACUCCUUUCACGUUAGCAAUAUCAUAAAGAUGCAGAUGAGAGACCAGCGGAGACAUCUUGAUCAGUAGAGUUAAAGGUUGACCGAUUCCUCCAGCAGCACCGAGGAUAGCCACCUUAAAAGAUGAAGCACGAGGCUGGAGUUGAUUUGUGGAUUGCUGCAUUGGUAUGGCUCUUGGGACGAAAGAUAGAGAAGCAACGCUUUCCUUGCCCAAAAAUGACGACUCUGAGUCGAGUUUAACAGAUGAUGCUGCCUUCAGACCACUGAAACUCUUGAAGGAGUUUGGGGUGCUGAAACUCAACCCGCAUAGCUUAGCUUUUG
rnacentral:misc_RNA from 1 species